CUGCUAUUUGGGUGAGGAUAGCCAUGCGAGUCGAAUGGGAUACCUAAAUUUCCCAUGGCGAACUGCUCAGUAACACAUGAUCAACUUACCCUAUUGAGAAAGAUAACCUCGGGAAACUGAGGAUAAUAUUUCAUAGUUGAAUUGGCUUGGAAAAGUUUUUCAACAAAAGGGAUAGGGAAAAUGGUCUCUAUCCGCUAUAGGAUAGGAUCGUGUUCGAUUAUAGUAGUUGGUGAGGUAACGGCUCACCAAGCCGAUAAUCGAUAGGGGCCGUGAGAGCGGGAGCCCCGAGAUGGGUACUGAGACAACGACCCAGGCCUUACGAGGCGCAGCAGGUACGAAACCUCCACAAUACACGAAAGUGUGAUGGGGUUACCCAAAGUGUUCAUUAUUGAACUGUGGUAGGAGAGUAAUGUCCCCUACUAGAAAGGAGAGGGCAAGGCUGGUGCCAGCCGCCGCGGUAAAACCAGCUCUUCAAGUGGUCGGGAUAAUUAUUGGGCUUAAAGUGUCCGUAGCCGGUUUGGUAAGUUCCUGGUAAAAUCGGAUAGCUUAACUAUCUGUAUGCUAGGAAUACUGCUAUACUAGAGGGCGGGAGAGGUCUGAGGUACUACAGGGGUAGGGGUGAAAUCUUAUAAUCCUUGCAGGACCACCAGUGGCGAAGGCGUCAGACUGGAACGCGCCUGACGGUGAGGGACGGAAGCCAGGGGAGCGAACCGGAUUAAAUACCCGGGUUAGUCCUGGCCGUAACGAUGCAUACUAGGUGAUGGUACGGCUAU
rnacentral:rRNA from 1 species